GCAAGACUUUCCAGCACUUGAUUUCCUGUUGCCGACCCCGCCUGCUUCUGACCUGCUCGUCUCUCCUGAUUCCCGAUUCUCUGCCCGGCCACGAUCUACCUUCUGCCUGUCCCCUACUGAAGCCUGAGAUGGAUUACUGCCUUCACAAAAAAGCGGCUGCCGUUCACUUUGUUUGCAUUGUCCACCGUGCUCUGCCUGGCCUCUGGAGCACUCGACAGUGAAGGGGAGGACGGACGGAGGGCGAAUAACAUGCUGUCAAAAGGGGCAGGUGUGGAUGCAGAUGCACUUACGUUGACAAUAGACUCCUUGGUCUGGGCCAUGUCUGAGAUGACACCAUCUGUGAUGAUGAGGAGCACAAAGUACUGGGAGCCAUCCUUCACAGAAGCUGCAUAUCUACACAUGGGAAACACACAAAACCGAUUAUUUUGUAGUUAUUCAUGCGCAUCCUCGUGUCUUUUGUUGUUUACCAUAGUGAUUCAUUACUUGGGCGUAUUAAGCAUCAUUCUGCGUGGUUUUAAUUAAUGUACUCAGCUGCUUCACAAAUUAGGUCGAAGUACUUGUGUGAUAAUGAGUUUUUUUCUCAUUGAAUAAAUAAACUUCCCACUCUGGAGGAUCUUAAUCUGUCAAGUACAUCUCUCUGUACAUCUCCCUUCAGGUCAUUUCUAUAGAUUCCCCGGCUCAAUGCUGCUCUCAAUUUCUCCUGCGAUGUUGGGUUUGACCUUUUGCUCCCGUGUGAGUCGUGAACCGACUGGUACUGACAUUUACACACUGAGAUUA